rnacentral:rRNA from 1 species
GACGAACGCUGGCGGCGUGCUUAACUCAUGCAAGUCGAACGGAAAGGCCCUGCUUUUGUGGGUUGCUCGAGUGGCGAACGGGUGAGUAACACGUUAGUAACCUGCCCUUGACUUUGGGAUAACUUCAGGAAACUGGGGCUAAUACCGGAUAGGAGCUCCUGCUGCAUGGUGGGGGUUGGAAAGUUUCGGCGGUUGGGGAUGGACUCGCGGCUUAUCAGCUUGUUGGUGGGGUAGUGGCUUACCAAGGCUUUGACGGGUAGCCGGCCUGAGAGGGUGACCGGCCACAUUGGGACGGAGAUACGGCCCAGACUCCUACGGGAGGCAGCAGUGGGGAAUAUUGCACAAUGGGAGGAAGCCUGAUGCAGCAACGCCGCGUGCGGGAUGACGGCCUUCGGGUUGUAAACCGCUUUCGCCUGUGACGAAGCGUGAGUGACGGUAAUGGGUAAAGAAGCACCGGCUAACUACGUG